AUAUGAAAAAACAAAGGCAAUCAUCACUUUAUAUUUAGUAGUACUCGUGACAUCACAUAUAACAUGAUAUUAUCAUACAAUAUUUUCCAACAGAGAAAAUGAUUUCAAUAAAUCAUGCCAGUUGACACAAUGUAUGAGAUAAACCACAGCAGUUCGACACUGUAUCACAAUACUUACAAUUACAUUAUGUCACUUUGACAAGAUGAUAAAGAGCAGGGGUGCAGAUAUCAUGACUACUAAUAUUGACAAGCAAGUGAUAAAUCAAGAUAACUAAUGUUUAUGAUAAGUAAUUUGAAUAUUAAUACAAGAUUUUUCAUCUUUUAAUAAAUGUCAUGUGUGAAGAACAUACAGAAAUUCCUAUUCUCUUUCAGAGUUAUACUUUUCUGAAGAGGAAUUACAGAUCCAGAGAGAGACAAGUAAAAAAGUGGCCACAGUUUAUGUGGGUUUCCACAUAAUAAUAAGUGUCCUUACUUUUUCCACACCAACAAUCAGUGUAUGUAUUCAUCAUUCUAGAUAUAUUCCAAUACACACCUACACUUAUGCCGUGCAUAUCUGAACCAAAUAAGAGGCCACUUUAUGACAGUGGAUCACCUGCCAAGUUAAUACAUGGCUGCUUUAAAGGCAAAGAAUUAAUAACAAGGAAGUAUGGUGGAAUCAAUGACCAGCAUUUGUGCAUUACAGCUUUGUUCACUAUAUGGACAAGCUAAAUACCAAACCUAGAUUCACCAGAUACUGGAAACAAAAAAUCUGCUCUUUUUGGCAGGUUUGGUAGCUUAAAGCACAUAAAAAUAAAACAUACACAAAACCGCGGCAGCAGCCUUUUCAUGCAAGUCUAGACAUGCAUACCCUCUACACACAGAACACUUCAGUUGUUGUCAGACUAGUGUUUGUGAAAGAAACCAGAGGACAGCACAUUGCAAAGAUCAUGAAGUCAGGAGCAGCAUAGAACAUUAGCACCAGAAAUGUUGCAGAUGCUUCAGCAUACAGCAAUCACAUCCCAAUCCAAACUAUUUCAAUGACACCACAGAAUCAGAAUGGAUGUGAAUCAUCAGAGAACAGACUGCAACAUUGAAGAAUGAUGACAGACACAUUCUGCAGUAUAUGUAAUCUUGAGCCUCAUCAGAUAGUAUAAAUGAUUGUAAGGGAAGCUGGAAUUUUUGUCUGUAGUAAACAUAUCAUUCUAUGUGAGCAAAUAUGUAGUGUAUCUGCUAACACAUUGUAGUACAAAGAAUGCUGAUGCAGGAUCAGUGUGACAAUUGCAUAAGGAUCCAAGGUGCAUUCGUCCAGAUUUUUUCCAAAAGAUCAUCACAGGUGUCAAAAACCUGAUGUUUCCUGCAGUCCUUAAAAUAAACUAGUGGAAAAGCCCAUAAAUAUUGAAAAUUUUUUGUAUUUUCCUCAAUUUUAAAUUUGUUUAAAGUAAAAUCUUGUGGGUCAGAUGAUUAUUGUUACUUUGACCAUUAUGAUUCCACUUCUUGUCAUGUGCAAAAUUGUGAUGUCCAGUGAAACCAUUUUACUUACUUCAUUCACGGUUUUCAGCUUUCCUCAGUUCUUCCCAGUAAAUAUGGGGACAGUACCUCAAAUUAGGUCACAGCUACUUCCUUUAACAUCCUUUUCAAUUCAUCAUUUGCUAUCACCCAACCAUGAAAUGCCAUGUAGUGUGAGCUACUGACAGCAUCAUUAAAUAGAUCAUAAAUAAACAGCUCAGGACAAGGGAAAAUAAUGACCAUGUAAUGCUGCUGGCACAGUAGAUUUCCUGCAACAUGACUUAAACAAGACAUAAAAUCCUGAAUACAAUUUAAAUAGGAACCCAUUGUAGCUACAAUAACAUAACAUGUUGCCUGCUAUAUACAGUAUCUGGCAUUCCUGAUAACAAUAAUGCAGUAUCAUUGUAAGUACUACUGCAUUUAGAAUGACAUUUCACAUCUCUUAGCAAAGACAAUGAACUGAAACAACUUGAAUGACUCGGAUUAGUUGCAGAACUCCACAAUCAACCAAUUAUAAUACUCCAAAUUAGUAACACAAAAAUACAAUACAGAAAGAACUCUACAGACUAUUUCUCAAAGGAAAAGCUUAGUAGCUUAGUUUUCAUCUAGAAGGUUUCUCCAAAGUGAACAAAAUAUUUUAAAAAAUCUAAUCUGUGUUGUCAGUGUCACUCAGCAUGAAAUUUCUGUAUUGAGUAUUAUGUCACAGUUUAUCAAGCAUGGCAGAUGCUGUUACAUGUCCACUAUGGUCACAUCUGUACCUGCACUUACAUUAAAAAUUAUAUUUAUACAGUAAAUGGCGAUAUUUGCAUAAAAUCAAUAAUGAUAAACCAAACAGUGUGACAUAACAAUGUAAACAAAAUGAGAACUCAAAGAGUCUAGCAUGUUCUUUGUGGAUGCUCAACAGAGCAUUUGGGAACUGCAAUUUCCUACCGUAAUGUUUCAGACAUGUUCUUAUUUUAUACUUAUAAUGAACAUGUUAAAGCUUGUAAGCUAAGAGAGUAUAAAUAUUCAUGUUAUGUGCAACAAAUAUGUAAAAAUCAUACAAGAAAAUCCUUGAAGCACUGUAUGAUGUAAUGGGAAACUUAUGUAGAGAAACAUAGCCUCAUUAGGUUCUGAGGGGUCAGGAUGAAAGAAUUUCUGGUCCCUCUAAGUUUAAAAGAAUGGUUUAUAACAGGUUUUACACAUAAAUUAUGUUGUAACAUGAAAUAUAAGUAAUAACAUAAUCAACUAAGUCUCAAAUACAAAGUCAAUUUACAUUAAUAUGAUAAUAAAUGAAUGUAGGUCCUACAGAAUGUCUUUGGUAUAUCUGCUAUCUAUUACACAAUUUUACAAAGCUAAAUGGAUUGCCAAUUAUUUGUAAAAUUGCAUCAAAUAAAUUUUUGUUCAUACUUGGCAAACAGGAUAAUACUUUACAAGAAGCAUGUACAUUUAUUUAAUUUCCCUCAACAAAUAUCCAGUAAUGUUAAAAAUGGUCAAAGAGAAUAUAUAUUCUUGUGUCUUAUACAUUCUUAUAAUACAAUACAUUCCUGAAGAAAUCGAUAUUAACAGAUUUAAUGAAAGUUGGUUAUCAGAAGACAGAAUUACAAAUUCCACGAAAAACAUAUCUUAAAAACUGUAAUAAUUCAUUAAACCUUUGUUAUCAUGCAUAAUCCAAUAUAUCAGAGUCACUGUUCACUGUCUGAUAUAUAUAUAUAUAUAUAUAUAUAUAUAUAUAUGUAUUUGAUAUUCACAACAUUUCAGGAAUACAUUUAACUUGUGGAACACUGCACGUAACGCAUAUGCUUCAGGCAAUGGACAGUGCCCAAUAUUAAGUGUGACGGAAAAGAAAUUCCUAACAAAAUGAAACAAUGAACUAUGAAGAAUUCUGCAAAAUGUUUAAAAUUAGAAUCUCAUGGAAGAUCCAAAUAUGGACACAUUCUGUUUUGUUACAAGUAAACUAAUCCAAAUAGAGGGAAUGAUGGUAAUGGAUGUCCAUUACUUGGUAACUUGUAGUUUGAAUGCAUUUUUCUUUUGUUAUAUAACUUAGGAUGAAAUGUGAUCCAUAAGACACACAUGAAAGGGAGAGACUUUGUUGCCCAAAAAUCACCUACAGCAAUUGAAACAUCUAGGAAGAAACACAAGAGAAGCUCUCAGUUACUGCACAAGUUAAGGUUCAUACAAAAUUAUAAUCUUAUGCUUCAGUUUCAUGACUAUCUGAAUCUUAUGUAAUGUUCUAUUUUUAAAGUACUUAAUGCUAUCAUGUGUCUUCCACAUGAUCAAUGAAGUUGAUAAAAUGUACUUAGUUUCAACCUACACUGUCCCAAGCUUAAUAUGACAGUAGUUAAAUAAAUGAAGAUAUCUGAGAUCCAGCUGUUCCAUGAAAAUAAGAUUCAGCAUACAACAGUUUAAUAAAAUGCAAAACUUUCAUUACUUACAGCAGAUCUUGUUUAACAGAAUAUUUCUUUCAAUGAACUGGUUGACAGAAUUGAUACCAGGUUUCAAUGUGUUGCACUGAUUUCUGUAUGUUAUUCAAUUUAUGGCAUAGAAUACAUCAAAACUUUACAUGUGAAAUUUAGUUUAUUAUGUACAAAGACUGUUCAAUAAGGUAUCUAUUACAGUAUGAAAGCAACAAGCAUUAGCUCCUAGCAUUAAGUGAAUGCAUCUCAUAUGUAUCAGCUCACUGUCUUAACUGUACAACCUGUAUAUGUCUGUCCCAUGAAAACUUCAUUGACAGGAAACACCUGUGGGGAGGUUCCCACACACCUUUCCCUGCAAGAAUUUUACCAAGAGUCUGAACACUGCCACUCCAGACUGUGUCCAGAAUGAAGGAAUACCAUUUUAUCAGUUACUGGUACAUAGAUGUCAACAGGCUGACCAUUGCGCUGAUGCCCAAACUCGAACUUAAUUCGAAGUUCCCCUAUCUUGCUAAUUGGAAGGAUGUCAGGUAUCCAUUCUAUGAGGAAUGGUGUCGGCUCCUGCUGAUCAGGAUGUACAUCAGAAGGACUGUGCAUAUGCAUACACACACAGAGACACCAGGGAAACAUCCUAAACUUCCAUUAACAAUGAACAUUUU